GAUGAACGCUGGCGGCGUGCCUAAUACAUGCAAGUCGAGCGAACGGACGAGAAGCUUGCUUCUCUGAUGUUAGCGGCGGACGGGUGAGUAACACGUGGAUAACCUACCUAUAAGACUGGGAUAACUUCGGGAAACCGGAGCUAAUACCGGAUAAUAUUUUGAACCGCAUGGUUCAAAAGUGAAAGACGGUCUUGCUGUCACUUAUAGAUGGAUCCGCGCUGCAUUAGCUAGUUGGUAAGGUAACGGCUUACCAAGGCAACGAUGCAUAGACGACCUGAGAGGGUGAUCGGCCGCACUGGAACUGAGACACGGUCCAGACUACUACGGGAGGCAGCAGUAGGGAAUCUUCCGCAAUGGGCGAAAGCCUGACGGAGCAACGCCGCGUGAGUGAUGAAGGUCUUCGGAUCGUAAAACUCUGUUAUUAGGGAAGAACAUAUGUGUAAGUAACUGUGCACAUCUUGACGGUACCUAAUCAGAAAGCCACGGCUAACUACGUG
rnacentral:rRNA from 1 species